AGUGAACGCUGGCGGCGUGCUUAACACAUGCAAGUCGAACGAGAACGGGUUAUAGCUUGCUAUAAUUGUCAGCUAAGUGGCGCACGGGUGAGUAAUGUAUAGGUAAUAUGCCUCUUACUAAGGGUUAACAAAUGGAAACGUUUGCUAAUACCUUAUACUCCUUAUUAACAGAAGUUAAUAAUGGAAAGAUUUAUUGGUAAGAGAUUAGCCUGUAUUGUAUCAGUUAGUUGGUGGGGUAAUGGCUUACCAAGACUAUGACCCAUAACUGGUUUGGGAGAAUGAUCAAUCACACUGGAACUGAGACACGGUCCAGACUCCUACGGGAGGCAGCAGUGUGGAAUAUUGAACAAUGGACGAAAGUCUGAUGCAGCAACGCCGCGUGGAGGAUGACACAUUUCGGUGCGUAAACUCCUUUUAUAUGAGAAGAUAAUGACGGUAUUAUAUGAAUAAGCACCGGCUAACGCCGUGCCAGCCGCCGCAGUAA
rnacentral:rRNA from 1 species